GCCACUAUUCCUGGAUCAAUUUUUGUAACUUUGAACAUAAUUCAAAGACUCAUUAUACAUAACUAUACAAUUUGACAUCCUUAAACUUCGAUCGUCAUUUUCCUUAUCAUUGUCACAGAACCCAAUUUUUACACUUCAUAAUCUUUGGCAAUAACAGAAGACUCUCCUAGGUCUAACUCCAUCAAGAAAGCUCCACCAGAAAUUGACUCUCCUAUUAGCCUAUACAAAUCGCCAACAUAUUUUUCUCUUCUUAUUGGCUCAAAAAUUAUAUUCACAAUCAUCUUAUCGAUGUGUCCAAACCAUUCCUUUACAGCCUUUUCACUAUGGUGACAAACCAUUCCUUUGCAGCCUUACUUGUCUAUGUCGAUGACAUUGUAAUAGCUGGCUCUAGUUUGGCAUAGAUUGAUGCAGUUCAAAGAUUCCUCAGCAGCAAAUUUAAGAUUAAAGCAUUGGGUGAUUUGAAGCACUUUCUUGGUCUUGAAGUUGCAAGUCACACAAGGGAAUUUUUAUCUCUCAAUGCAAAUACACUUUAGACAUAUUGGCUGAUGCAGGGUUUCUUGGUGCUAAACCAUUUAAACUUCCUAUGGAUCAGAAUUUGAAAUUAAGGAAAAACAUAGGAACGGCACUACCUGAUCCCAUCAUUUACCGAAUACUAAUUGGAAAAUUAAUGUGUCUAUCCCUGACUAGACUUGAUAUAUGUUAUGCAGUUCAGAACCUCAUCAGCAUAUGGAAGCUUCAUCUUACACACGUCUUGGUACAGUUCACAAAGUAAUCAAAUAUCUUAAGUUAGCACCAAGACAAAGCCUCUUAUUUUCAUCUUCAUCCUCACUGACCCUUCAAGCAUUUUGUGAUUCUGAUUGGGGAGCUUGCCCUGAUUCUCGAAGAUCAAUUACUGGUUAUUGUAUAUUCCUAGGGGAUUCACUGAUUUCUUUGAAAUCUAAGAAGCAAAGUGUGGUUAAAAUACAAACCAAUGGCUAGCACAUGUUGUGAGAUCACAUGGUUAAAAUAUAUUCUGAAGGACUUUCAAAUUCUUCACUCCCAGCCAGUAACUUUAUAUUGUGAUAACCAGGCAGCAUUGCACAUUGCCUCCAACCCAGUAUUUCAUGAAAGAACUAAACACAUCGAGCUGGAUUGUCAUUUGAUUAGAGAUCAAAUCGAAGCUGAUCACAUCUCCACAUCUUAGGAUCCUACCCGAUAACAACUUGCUG
rnacentral:lncRNA from 1 species